GGCUGUGAGGGCAGUCUGACACCCCAGUGAUCACCAGGGUUAAUUCUGCCAGUCUGGCCAGCUAGGUGGGUGUCCCCUCCCUCCUUCACUGCUCCAUGUGUAUACCCCCAGAUGUGGCACACUUGGCUAGAGAGGACGACCUUCCCCGAUAGAGCCUCCAAACAGUCUCUCCAAGUCUAAAAAGGGACAAACUAAAACUUGAAGCUUGAUAGAGGAUAAAAGAUGGCCUGU
rnacentral:sRNA from 1 species